rnacentral:rRNA from 1 species
AUUGAACGCUGGCGGCAUGCUUUACACAUGCAAGUCGAACGGUAACAGGCCGCAAGGUGCUGACGAGUGGCGAACGGGUGAGUAAUGCAUCGGAACGUGCCCAGUCGUGGGGGAUAACUACUCGCAAGAGUAGCUAAUACCGCAUACGAUCUAUGGAUGAAAGCGGGGGACCGUAAGGCCUCGCGCGAUUGGAGCGGCCGAUGUCAGAUUAGGUAGUUGGUGGGGUAAAGGCUCACCAAGCCAACGAUCUGUAGCUGGUCUGAGAGGACAACCAGCCACACUGGGACUGAGACACGGCCCAGACUCCUACGGGAGGCAGCAGUGGGGAAUUUUGGACAAAGGGCGCAAGCCUGAUCCAGCAAUGCCGCGUGCAGGAAGAAGGCCUUCGGGUUGUAAACUGCUUUUGUACGGAACGAAACGGCUCUGGUUAAUACCCGGGGCUAAUGACGGUACCGUAAGAAUAAGCACCGGCUAACUACGUG